rnacentral:tRNA from 8 species
GGACGCAUAGCUCAGUUGGUUAGAGCACUACCUUGACAUGGUAGGGGUCACAGGUUCGAGUCCUGUUGUGUCCA